AUGAGUCCCCUGGGAAACGCGAUCCGCUUCACUGGCGUUCCGCCCUUGCUUUGGUUCCUACGGCCUACAGAGCCGGAGGAAGGCGAUCCCGGGAAGGGGGGGGGGUGGUGUCCUCAGAGGGGUGGGGACGUGUCAGCUGUGUCUCCACGGAGGGCUGUGUGUCCCCCCCCUACAGGUGGAGCUGCUGCUGCUGCUGCUCGUGUACCCCCGUGGGCGCCCCCCCCCACCACCCAAAACGAAGGGGGGCUGCGGGGAUACCUGAGAGUAUUGGCUCGGGCGCCCGGCCCCCCCCGGCCCAAAGCGUGCAGCCGCUACCUGCGGCGUUUGGCUGCCCGGAGCCUGGGGGGGUUACGGGAGGGCUUUGGCACGAUGGGGAGCCCCGGAGGGGGGUUACGGCUUUGCCUCCGUUUGGAGCCCGACAACGCGAUGCCUCCACAUCCUGCCGGUGCUGCUGCAGGUGGGGGGGGGGGCUCAGGGCUGAUCGGUGCGGUUGGAGUCGGGGGGAGCAGAAUUAAGGCUCACCCUGCGCCCCUCCCGGUUUCCCCCCCCACACUCCGUCCCUUUCACCUGCUGCUUUUCCCUUUUUGUCUUGCUUUUCCCUUUCACUGCUGCUUUUCCCUUUCACUGCUGCUUUUCCUUCACUGCCUGCAUUCCCUUUUAGUCUUGGCUUUUCCCUUUCUCUGCUGCUUUUUCCCUUUCUCUGCUGCUUUUCCCAUUCACUGCUGCUUUUCCCAUUCACUGCUGCUUUUCCCUUUCACUGCUGCUUUUCCCUUUCACUGCUGCUUUUCCCUUUCACUGCUGAUUUUCCCUUUCACUGCUGCUUUUCCCUUUCACUGCUGCUUUUCCCUUUUAGUCUUGCUUUUCCCUUUUAGUCUUGCUU
rnacentral:lncRNA from 1 species